rnacentral:tmRNA from 1 species
GGGCCCGUAAAGGUUUCGACGGGGAUUUUGAGGCAUGAUAAGCGUGGCGGGCCGGAUAAUCCCGUAAAACUGUCCACCCUUAAACAAUAAACGACAACAGAACUGUUGCUCAGGCUGCUUAAUUGCAGUGCCGCGGUCUUAACCGCCCGUCUCCCGUGGGAGGACCACGACCCACGGCAGGCGUCAAAUCAGUGGUAAACGUGCAUCGGCCUUUCGCCCUUGAGCCGAUCAUGCAGAAAAGGGCUACUCACGUGCGGUGCCUGUCGGCCGGCGCCGUGCGUGGGGAAGCUUAAAGACCGACUGUCCACGAAGAAAGUCAUGUCAAGAGGUUUUCGGACAGGGGUUCGAUUCCCCUCGGGUCCACCA